rnacentral:sRNA from 1 species
UUUAACCCCAUGACGCCCACUAAGCCCGC